GCAGAAGAUACAGAACAAUUAAAACUCGGACCACAAGUCUUCUGAAUAGUUUUUAUCCAAGAGCUAUAACUGCACUCAACAAUGAACUAAAGGGCCACCAUCAGUGAGCUGUUGGACAGCAUUACUUGUUUUCCAUGUCCUCCUUUGAUUGUUAUCUCUGGUAACCGUGUGUAAGAGCCUUCUUCUCCUUCCUUGAAGUGCUAUCAGAGACAAAUGGGUGCUCCAUUCUCCUUUUGCACUGUCCAGCUGAGGACUUAAGCCCUUAUCAUCAGAUUUUGGACCCCUCCCCUCUCCUUUGUAGCAAGCCAGGCUUAUCAAACCUGUCAAGAGAUGCCAGGUCUUAUCCGACUAUCUGAAUUCAAACCAUCUCCUCCUCCAAGAACCAAUGACCCUUCUCCCUUCCUGGAGAGACCAUUUUGUUGUCCUUAUCUGCAUCUAUUUUGGUGGGACACUCACUAACCGUGAAGGGUAAAUGAGAAGAAGCUCAAUUACUGUGAGAAAGUGUAAAGCUGCACCAGAUGUCUGCAAAUGUAUCGCAAGACACAAUUCAUCAUUCACCCAGUAACUGAUGCAAGACUAAGAAGCUGAAAAAAUCAUCACCCCAAAGAGGUUUUCCUACCUGUUUCUCAAGCUGUUUCGUGUAUUGUUGCAACCUCGUUCCAACAGAAACUAAGUGAAUAGAGUUUAUUUCUGGUAUUUGUAUGUUCAUAACAGCAAAUAGCAGAAUAAUAGUUGGAAGGGACCUUGGAAGUCUUCCAGUCCAACCCCCCUGCAGAGGGAUUGCAUACUAAAUCAAAUGCUGUUUUUCCCGUAACAAAUAAUAAUAAAAAGAUCCAUUCAAGAUGUGUCUGCUUUUGAUGUCUGCUCUAAAAGUGUCAAUUAAGUCUGAAGGAGAACAAAGGGGAG